rnacentral:rRNA from 1 species
AGGACGAACGCUGGCGGCGUGCUUAACACAUGCAAGUCGAGCGGAAAGGCCUUUCGGGGUACUCGAGCGGCGAACGGGUGAGUAACACGUGAGUAAUCUGCCCAUCGCUUCAGGAUAGCCAUCGGAAACGGUGAUUAAUACUGGAUAUGACAUUCCUUCGCAUGUUGGGGUGUGGUAAAGUUUUUCGGCGGUGGAUGUGCU